rnacentral:rRNA from 1 species
GACAGCAGUCGCCACGGUAAUACGAAGGGUGCAAGCGUUACUCGGAAUUACUGGGCGUAAAGCGUGCGUAGGUGGUGGUUUAAGUCCGUUGUGAAAGCCCUGGGCUCAACCUGGGAAUUGCAGUGGAUACUGGGUCACUAGAGUGUGGUAGAGGAUAGUGGAAUUUCCGGUGUAGCAGUGAAAUGCGUAGAGAUCGGAAGGAACAUCUGUGGCGAAGGCGACUAUCUGGGCCAACACUGACACUGAGGCACGAAAGCGUGGGGAGCAAACAGGAUUAGAUACCCGUGUAGUCCCUGUCUCUUAUAA